rnacentral:tRNA from 1 species
UGGCCCAAUGGAUAAGGCAUCGGCCUACGGAGCCGGGGAUUGUAGGUUCGAGUCCUAC